AAACCAACAGGGAUUGCCCUAGUAACGGCGAGUGAAGCGGCAACAGCUCAAAUUUGAAAUCUGGCCUUCGGGUCCGAGUUGUAAUUUGUAGAGGAUGCUUUUGGCGCGGUGCCUUCCGAGUUCCCUGGAAUGGGACGCCUUAGAGGGUGAGAGCCCCGUAUGGUUGGACACCAAGCCUCUGUAAAGCUCCUUCGACGAGUCGAGUAGUUUGGGAAUGCUGCUCUAAAUGGGAGGUAAAUUUCUUCUAAAGCUAAAUAUUGGCCAGAGACCGAUAGCGCACAAGUAGAGUGAUCGAAAGAUGAAAAGCACUUUGAAAAGAGGGUUAAAUAGCACGUGAAAUUGUUGAAAGGGAAGCGUUUGCGACCAGACCUUUUCGUAGCGGAUCAUCCGGUGUUCUCACCGGUGCACUUCGCUUCGUUUAGGCCAGCAUCGGUUUCUGUAGGGGGAUAAAAGCUUGGGGAACGUAGCUCCCUCGGGAGUGUUAUAGCCCCUCGCAUAAUACCCUUACGGGGACCGAGGACCGCGCUUUAUGCAAGGAUGCUGGCGUAAUGGUCGUCAACGAC
rnacentral:rRNA from 8 species